UCGGUCCCUAUCUGCCGUGGGCGCUGGAGAACUGAGGGGGGCUGCUCCUAGUACGAGAGGACCGGAGUGGACGCAUCACUGGUGUUCGGGUUGUCAUGCCAAUGGCACUGCCCGGUAGCUAAAUGCGGAAGAGAUAAGUGCUGAAAGCAUCUAAGCACGAAACUUGCCCCGAGAUGAGUUCUCCCUGAGACUUUAAGUCUCCUGAAGGAACGUUGAAGACGACGACGUUGAUAGGCCGGGUGUGUAAGCGCAGCGAUGCGUUGAGCUAACCGGUACUAAUGAACCGUGAGGCUUAACCUU
rnacentral:rRNA from 1 species